rnacentral:rRNA from 1 species
UUUGAUCCUGGCUCAGAACGAACGCUGGCGGCAUGCCUAAUACAUGCAAGUCGAACGAGACCUUCGGGUCUAGUGGCGCACGGGUGCGUAACGCGUGGGAAUCUGCCCUUGGGUUCGGAAUAACUUCGGGAAACUGAAGCUAAUACCGGAUGAUGACGAAAGUCCAAAGAUUUAUCGCCCAGGGAUGAGCCCGCGUAGGAUUAGCUAGUUGGUGGGGUAAAGGCUCACCAAGGCAACGAUCCUUAGCUGGUCUGAGAGGAUGAUCAGCCACACUGGGACUGAGACACGGCCCAGACUCCUACGGGAGGCAGCAGUAGGGAAUAUUGGACAAUGGGCGAAAGCCUGAUCCAGCAAUGCCGCGUGAGUGAUGAAGGCCUUAGGGUUGUAAAGCUCUUUUACCCGAGAUGAUAAUGACAGUAUCGGGAGAAUAAGCUCCGGCUAACUCCGUGCCAGCAGCCGCGGUAAUACGGAGGGAGCUAGCGUUGUUCGGAAUUACUGGGCGUAAAGCGCACGUCGGCGGCGAUUUAAGUCAGAGGUGAAAGCCCGGGGCUCAACCCCGGAACUGCCUUUGAGACUGGAUUGCUAGAAUCUUGGAGAGGCGAGUGGAAUUCCGAGUGUAGAGGUGAAAUUCGUAGAUAUUCGGAAGAACACCAGUGGCGAAGGC